rnacentral:tRNA from 1 species
AGUAAAGUCAGCUAAUAAAGCUCCCGGACCCAUACCCCUGAGAUGUAGGUGAAAAUCCUUCCUUUACUA